rnacentral:rRNA from 1 species
GGCGUUAAGUUGCAGGGUAUAGACCCGAAACCCGGUGAUCUAGCCAUGGGCAGGUUGAAGGUUGGGUAACACUAACUGGAGGACCGAACCGACUAAUGUUGAAAAAUUAGCGGAUGACCUGUGGCUGGGGGUGAAAGGCCAAUCAAACCGGGAGAUAGCUGGUUCUCCCCGAAAGCUAUUUAGGUAGCGCCUCGUGAACUCAUCUCCGGGGGUAGAGCACUGUUUCGGCUAGGGGGCCAUCCCGGCUUACCAACCCGAUGCAAACUGCGAAUACCGGAGAAUGUUAUCACGGGAGACACACGGCGGGUGCUAACGUCCGUCGUGAAGAGGGAAACAACCCAGACCGCCAGCUAAGGUCCCAAAGUCAUGGUUAAGUGGGAAACGAUGUGGGAAGGCCCAGACAGCCAGGAUGUUGGCUUAGAAGCAGCCAUCAUUUAAAGAAAGCGUAAUAGCUCACUGGUCGAGUCGGCCUGCGCGGAAGAUGUAACGGGGCUAAACCAUGCACCGAAGCUGCGGCAGCGACAUUUAGGUGUUGUUGGGUAGGGGAGCGUUCUGUAAGCCUGUGAAGGUGGCCUGUGAGGGUUGCUGGAGGUAUCAGAAGUGCGAAUGCUGACAUAAGUAACGAUAAAGCGGGUGAAAAGCCCGCUCGCCGGAAGACCAAGGGUUCCUGUCCAACGUUAAUCGGGGCAGGGUGAGUCGACCCCUAAGGCGAGGCCGAAAGGCGUAGUCGAUGGGAAACGGGUUAAUAUUCCCGUACUUGGUGUUACUGCGAAGGGGGGACGGAGAAGGCUAUGUUGGCCGGGCGACGGUUGUCCCGGUUUAAGCGUGUAGGUGUGUGUUCCAGGUAAAUCCGGUUCACUUUAACACUGAGGCGUGAUGACGAGGCACUACGGUGCUGAAGCAACAAAUGCCCUGCUUCCAGGAAAAGCCUCUAAGCAUCAGGUAACAUCAAAUCGUACCCCAAACCGACACAGGUGGUCAGGUAGAGAAUACCAAGGCGCUUGAGAGAACUCGGGUGAAGGAACUAGGCAAAAUGGUGCCGUAACUUCGGGAGAAGGCACGCUGACACGUAGGUGAAGUGAUUUACUCAUGGAGCUGAAGUCAGUCGAAGAUACCAGCUGGCUGCAACUGUUUAUUAAAAACACAGCACUGUGCAAACACGAAAGUGGACGUAUACGGUGUGACGCCUGCCCGGUGCCGGAAGGUUAAUUGAUGGGGUCAGCGCAAGCGAAGCUCCUGAUCGAAGCCCCGGUAAACGGCGGCCGUAACUAUAACGGUCCUAAGGUAGCGAAAUUCCUUGUCGGGUAAGUUCCGACCUGCACGAAUGGCGUAAUGAUGGCCAGGCUGUCUCCACCCGAGACUCAGUGAAAUUGAACUCGCUGUGAAGAUGCAGUGUACCCGCGGCAAGACGGAAAGACCCCGUGAACCUUUACUAUAGCUUGACACUGAACAUUGAGCCUUGAUGUGUAGGAUAGGUGGGAGGCUUUGAAGUGUGGACGCCAGUCUGCAUGGAGCCGACCUUGAAAUACCACCCUUUAAUGUUUGAUGUUCUAACGUGGACCCGUAAUCCGGGUUGCGGACAGUGUCUGGUGGGUAGUUUGACUGGGGCGGUCUCCUCCUAAAGAGUAACGGAGGAGCACGAAGGUUGGCUAAUCCUGGUCGGACAUCAGGAGGUUAGUGCAAUGGCAUAAGCCAGCUUGACUGCGAGCGUGACGGCGCGAGCAGGUGCGAAAGCAGGUCAUAGUGAUCCGGUGGUUCUGAAUGGAAGGGCCAUCGCUCAACGGAUAAAAGGUACUCCGGGGAUAACAGGCUGAUACCGCCCAAGAGUUCAUAUCGACGGCGGUGUUUGGCACCUCGAUGUCGGCUCAUCACAUCCUGGGGCUGAAGUAGGUCCCAAGGGUAUGGCUGUUCGCCAUUUAAAGUGGUACGCGAGCUGGGUUUAGAACGUCGUGAGACAGUUCGGUCCCUAUCUGCCGUGGGCGCUGGAGAACUGAGGGGGGCUGCUCCUAGUACGAGAGGACCGGAGUGGACGCAUCACUGGUGUUCGGGUUGUCAUGCCAAUGGCACUGCCCGGUAGCUAAAUGCGGAAGAGAUAAGUGCUGAAAGCAUCUAAGCACGAAACUUGCCCCGAGAUGAGUUCUCCCUGAGACUUUAGGUCUCCUGAAGGAACGUUGAAGACGACGACGUUGAUAGGCCGGGUGUGUAAGCGCAGCGAUGCGUUGAGCUAACCGGUACUAAUGAACCGUGAGGCUUAACCUUACAAC